rnacentral:rRNA from 1 species
UCUUAGUGGCGGACGGGUGAGUAACGCGUGGGUAACCUGCCCCAUACCGGGGGAUACCACCUGGAAACAGGUGCUAAUACCGCAUAAGCGCACGGGAGCGCAUGCUCCUGUGUGAAAAACUCCGGCGGUAUGGGAUGGACCCGCGUCUGAUUAGCCAGUUGGCAGGGUAACGGCCUACCAAAGCGACGAUCAGUAGCCGGCCUGAGAGGGUGGACGGCCACAUUGGGACUGAGACACGGCCCAAACUCCUACGGGAGGCAGCAG